UACAGAGGUCCCAAGCGUUGUUCGGAUUCAUUGGGCGUAAAGGGUGCGUAGGCGGCGCGGUAAGUCGGGUGUGAAAUCUCGGGGCUUAACUCCGAAACUGCAUUCGAUACUGCCGUGCUUGAGGACUGGAGAGGAGGCUGGAAUUUACGGUGUAGCGGUGAAAUGCGUAGAUAUCGUAAGGAAGACCAGUGGCGAAGGCGGGUCUCUGGACAGUUCCUGACGCUGAGGCACGAAGGCCAGGGGAGCAAACGGG
rnacentral:rRNA from 1 species